UACAGAGGUCCCAAGCGUUGUUCGGAUUCACUGGGCGUAAAGGGUGCGUAGGUGGUGAGGUAAGUCGGAUGUGAAAUCUCCGAGCUCAACUCGGAAAUGGCAUUGGAAACUACCUUGCUCGAGGAUUGGAGGGGAGACUGGAAUUCUCGGUGUAGCGGUGAAAUGCGUAGAUAUCGAGAGGAACACCUGCGGCGAAGGCGGGUUGCUGGGCUGACACUGACGCUGAGGCGCGAAAGCUAGGGGAGCGAACGGG
rnacentral:rRNA from 1 species